rnacentral:rRNA from 1 species
GGAACGAACGCUGGCGGCAUGCCUAAUACAUGCAAGUCGAACGAAGGCUUCGGCCUUAGUGGCGCACGGGUGCGUAACGCGUGGGAAUCUGCCCCUUGGUUCGGAAUAACAGUUGGAAACGACUGCUAAUACCGGAUGAUGACGAAAGUCCAAAGAUUUAUCGCCAAGGGAUGAGCCCGCGUAGGAUUAGCUAGUUGGUGAGGUAAAGGCUCACCAAGGCGACGAUCCUUAGCUGGUCUGAGAGGAUGAUCAGCCACACGUGGGACUGAGACACGGCCCAGACCU